AUGAAGAAGGCAUACACGAAACGCUGAGAAAGAAGACAUCAUCUUCAUUAGAUCCCCUUCGUCUAGGUACAAGCAAUCUCCCCUUCGUCUGUCUCUUCUCUCCCAGAUCCCACCCCAAAUCUCGUCGUCUAACCUUCGGCUGGUCUCUUCUGUGUCGAUGGUCUCCUCUGCGCACGACCCACCUCCGUAAGGGAACUCCUCUGCGCGCAACCCACCUCCGCCACUCAAGGGAACUCCUCUGCGCGCGACUCACCUUUGUCAAGGAGAUGUACAUGACAAGGGUAGAGAUUGCAAGGGCACAGGUUUAUUAGCAUGAGGUAGGAAAGCAAUUUAGGCAUAGCCUCCUCCAUAACUGAUCGAGCUUUAACUGAUUGUACGAGCGUGAAAAGAGCUCUACCAUAUUAACAUUUUUUUUGUCAUUUUCAUUGUAAUUAAUUUUACCCAUAUUAGUAUUUCAUAAUUUGUUUGUAUUUCAUCAUGAUCUUACCCAUAUCUGUAUUCCAUAAUUUUUUUUUUCAUUUUCAUUGAAAUUUGUUCAAGCCUUCCAUGCAAACCAAGGUGCACAACCUGCAACAAAAAUAGAGGAGUCCAUCCAGUGCAUGCAGUAUUUCUGCAGAAAGUUCUUGGCUUUUCAUAUGCAGCUUCUGUAGUGGAUUUCAAGAUUCCAGUCCUGGAUGUGAAAUUUUCAUCUCCGGAAAAUUGCAAUACCAAGGCUCCCCUUGAAGCCCUAUUGACUAACAUCCAGGAAUCAAAGGUCGAAGUUCCUUGCAUCAAGGAUACGGAUGAUGACUCCCCAAUUACAGAGCAAUGCAACUUAAUUUCAUUGUAGAAUGGUGAACUGUCAGCUCCUGCAGACAACAACCAUAUUUCAGUGGAUAUGAACUAUUGCGAUGUAGUGGAUGUGCCUUUGAUCGUUGAGGGUGAAAACCUGCAGGACCAUUGGACAUUCUGCAGCCAUGAAAUGUUUGUAAAGAGUCUCAUAUGAUACAACUUUUUUUUUUGUGUAUAAACUUGGUUUAGGCAAGUAAUAGAUGUAGCUGCUGUUGUAAUAUGUAGAUAUUGUUGUUGUUCCUUGUUGAACAUUUUCUUUUUGGUAAAAAGUGUUAAGUUUUGCCCUCAUAUGAAUAACAGUCCCCUUGUUGAAUUUAGCUUCUC